rnacentral:rRNA from 1 species
AUGAACGCUGGCGGCGUGCCUAAUCCAUGCAAGUUGCGCGAACAGAUGAGGAGCUUGCUCCUCUGACGUUAGCGGCGGACGGGUGAGUAACACGUGGAUAACCUACCUAUAAGACUGGGAUAACUUCGGGAAACCGGAGCUAAUACCGGAUAAUAUAUUGAACCGCAUGGUUCAAUAGUGAAAGACGGUUUUGCUGUCACUUAUAGAUGGAUCCGCGCCGCAUUAGCUAGUUGGUAAGGUAACGGCUUACCAAGGCAACGAUGCGUAGCCGACCUGAGAGGGUGAUCGGCCACACUGGAACUGAGACACGGUCCAGACUCCUACGGGAGGCAGCAGUAGGGAAUCUUCCGCAAUGGGCGAAAGCCUGACGGAGCAACGCCGCGUGAGUGAUGAAGGUCUUCGGAUCGUAAAACUCUGUUAUUAGGGAAGAACAAAUGUGUAAGUAACUAUGCACGUCUUGACGGUACCUAAUCAGAAAGCCACGGCUAACUACGUG